UACGUAGGGCGCAAGCGUUGUCCGGAAUUAUUGGGCGUAAAGAGCUCGUAGGCGGCUUGUCACGUCGGUUGUGAAAGCCCGGGGCUUAAACCCCGGGUCUGCAGUCGAUACGGGCAGGCGUAGAGUGUGGUAGGGGAGAUCGGGAAUUCCUGGUGUAGCGGUGAAAUGCGCAGAUAUCAGGAGGAACACCGAUGGCGAAGGCAGGUCUCUGGGCCACUACUGACGCUGAGAAGCGAAAGCAUGGGGGAGCGAAACAGG
rnacentral:rRNA from 1 species